AGAGUUUGAUUCUGGCUCAGGAUGAACGCUAGCUACAGGCUUAACACAUGCAAGUCGAGGGGCAUCAUGACGAUAGCUUGCUAUAGUUGAUGGCGACCGGCGCACGGGUGAGUAACGCGUAUCCAACCUUCCCCUUAGUAGGGCAUAGCCCGGCGAAAGUCGGAUUAAUACCCUAUGUUAUUCGUAGAGGACAUCUGAAAUGAAUCAAAGAUUAAUCGCUAAGGGAUGGGGAUGCGUCCGAUUAGGUAGUCGGCGGGGUAACGGCCCACCGAGCCUUCGAUCGGUAGGGGUUCUGAGAGGAAGGUCCCCCACACUGGUACUGAGACACGGACCAGACUCCUACGGGAGGCAGCAGUGAGGAAUAUUGGUCAAUGGACGGGAGUCUGAACCAGCCAAGUAAGCGUGCAGGAAGACGGCCCUAUGGGUUGUAAACUGCUUUUAUACGGGGAUAAAGUCGCCCACGUGUGGGUGUUUGUAGGUACCGUAUGAAUAAGGACCGGCUAAUUCCGUGCCAGCAGCUGC
rnacentral:rRNA from 1 species